AGUAGUUUGAUCAUGGACUCAGAGUAGACGCUGGCGGCAGGCCUAAUACAUGCAAGUCGAACGGCAGCACAGCAGAGCUUGCUCUGUGGGUGGCGAGCGGCGGACGGGUGAGGAAUACAUGGGAAUCUGCCCAGUCGUGGGGAUAACGUAGGGAAACUUUACGCUAAUACCGCAUGCGCCCUUCGGGGGAAAGCCGGGGACCGUAAGGCCUGGCGCGAUUGGAUGAGCCCAUGUCGGAUUAGCUAGUUGGCGGGGUAAAGGCCCACCAAGGCGACGAUCCGUAGCUGGUCUGAGGGGAUGAUCAGCCACACUGGAACUGAGACACGGUCCAGACUCCUACGGGAGGCAGCAGUAGGGAAUAUUGGACAAUGGGCGCAAGCCUGAUCCAGCCAUGCCGCGUGAGUGAAGAAGGCCCUCGGGUUGUAAAGCUCUUUUGUCCGGAAAGAAAAGCGCCGGGUUAAUACCCUGGUGUCCUGACGGUACCGGAAGAAUAAGCACCGGCUAACUUCGUG
rnacentral:rRNA from 1 species